rnacentral:lncRNA from 1 species
CUCAAGGAAGAUAUAGCUAACAUAGAAAGGUUAAGAAAAGAAUGAAUAGAUUUCAACUGGAUUUUUAUCCUUAAAAAAAUUAAGAAUUUCUUGUUUGCCAAAUAAGAUUUAAAUAAGACAGCCUAGAAAAGUAUAUUUUAAUUAAUAGAUUAAAUGAGGCAGGUGAUGACAUUUUCCAAGUAUAUAUUUAACAGAAACUAUAUGUACAAAGAUCUGGCUUUCAUGGUAAACUUAUAUUUGAUAUUAGUUUCUCUCUCAAUCAGCCAAUCAUAUGAGAGAAUGCAAAUAUACUGAAGUGCUACAGACAUUUUUCUACUAAAGAUUCCUAUUGUUUUACUUCAUGGAAAAUACAAACGUUUAUACGCAUGUGUACAUAUGUAGAACUUUAACCUUAUUGCUUUUAAAAAUUACUGUAUUUUGAAACAUAUAAUUCAUCAAAGAGAGUACACAAAAGUUAUAUGUACCAUUUAAAGAAUAAUGAAAACAUCCGUAUACCCACACAGGCCAAGAAGUAGAAAUUUACCACUAGAAGCCACCAGGUAUCCCUUUAUUAAUGCACUUCAUGUAUCUCUAAAGAUAAAUACAUCCUGAGUUAUUUUAUAAUCCUUCCUUUGGUCUUUUUAGUUUUAUCAUCUACCAAUAUUUUGGCCCUUUUAAAAUUUCUAUAUAAAAAUAAUAAUACUUCAAGUAUUUUUCUAUGAUUUUAGUCCUUACCUUGACCAUCAAAACUGAGAUUCAUCCAUUAUGUGUGGUUGUUCUUUCAUUUAUACUGUUGUAAUGUAUUCUACUCAUUUGUUUUGUUUCAUUUUUGAGAUGGGGUCUUAUUCUGUUGCCCAGGCUGGUCUCGAACUCCUGGGCUUAGGUGAUCCUCUUGCCUCAGCUUCCUAAGUGUUGGGACUACACGUGUGUGCCACCAUGCCCAGCUAAUAUCCUACUCUUGUUGAAGUUAUUUCUUUUUAAUUGUUAGAAACAUUCAUGUACAUAUCUCCUGGUACACAUGUGAAAGAAUAUCUCUAGGGAUUAUAUCAGAGAGUUCUAGUCUUGCACAUUUUCAACUUCAUUAGGUAACACAAAACUAUUUUCCAAAAUGAUUGUACCAAUUUAUAUUCUACCAACAGUGAAGGAAAAUCCAUACAUUCUUGCC